rnacentral:lncRNA from 1 species
AUGAGUGAAGCACAGAUUUGGGAUGAGCUUGCCCUCCACGUCCGGAAUAACGAAACACAACUACAUUUAGGGAGACGAAUGCCAAAGAUCUCUUGCACAGUCCAGGAUUUAAAAGCUGUACAGGAAUUCACUCCUGAUCCUUUGAGCUGAAACAAACACCUACAGCUCCCCCAGUCCCUAUCUUGAUUGGAAAUGUGUACCCAAAGGUACAUACUCAAGACUACUGGUGUAAUUGUCACUGCUGAGCCCAAAGGAGAGAGCAUGAGUUAUAGGCCUGAAACUGAAGGCCUAUAAGGCCUGAAGGACAUUUAUAACAUGUCCUACAAUAUAAGAUAUCCCUGUAGUGGUUAAUGCUAUCAAUUUGUAGGGAAAAAAAAAUCUAGAAUCACCUAAGACAUUUACGAAUGAACAUCAUAUUCAUAAGGAAAUUUUCAUACCAAGUUAACUGAAAAUUGACAUCACCUAUUCCAAACGUGGAUGACAAUAUCACAUGAGCUACAAUCAGGAAAGGAAGAAAAGGGAACUGAACGCCAGCACUCCUGUCCCUCUGACUAGAUGCAAUGUGACCAGCAGGCUCGAACUUGCUGCACUUGGCUGUGCAGACGGAUUAUUUAUGUCAAAAGAAAUCUUCUUUCUUACGUUGCUUUUGUUGAGUAUUUUCAUCCAGCAAUAAGAAAAAAACAAACAAAAAAAA